AGCAGCACCCGCCGCCGGCGCCGAGUCAGGUAAUGGACGGGUUCGAGAACAGCAAGCUGUUUCGUGCCUACUCAGGCUCAUCCACG
rnacentral:ribozyme from 1 species